UACGUAGGGUGCAAGCGUUUGUCCGGAAUUAUUGGGCGUAAAGAGCUCGUAGGCGGUCUGUCGCGUCGGCUGUGAAAACCUGGGGCUCAACUCCGGGCCUGCAGCCGAUACGGGCAGACUAGAAUUCGGUAGGGGAGACUGGAAUUCCUGGUGUAGCGGUGAAAUGCGCAGAUAUCAGGAGGAACACCGGUGGCGAAGGCGGGUCUCUGGGCCGAUAUUUGACGCUGAGGAGCGAAAAGCGUGGGGGAGCGAACAGG
rnacentral:rRNA from 1 species